GGGGAAUCCGGCUCCUGGUAUUUUUGGAUACCUACGAACGGGCUUCUGGCGACUUGUUCCAGCUGCCAAACAUACCACAGGAAUUGAAAAACUUGGCUACCGGGAAUUAUUCUCUCUUCCACUUCUUCUACGUUAAGGGUAUGCUGACGGGUCACUGCACCCCAUGCGCGGUCGCCACGAAGCUUUCCAGCAUUCAGAUCUACGGUAUUAACCGGCAUCCAACAGCCAUUGACAUCAACGGACGCCCGCUCAACUUCAGUGUCUCUGGCAAGAUGUUGACAGCAUACGACGUGAACCACGACGCCACUUUACCGUUUCUCAUUAGUGUGGUCUAAAGCACAGCGAUUUCACGCAAUAAAGCGAAAUCU